rnacentral:lncRNA from 1 species
ACAUACUAUUAACAGAGUUUGUUCCUGAAAGAAAAAAAAACCAAUAUAAUAUUACAGAUUUACAAGGUGUCUGACACACAAAAACAGAAAAAAGUUUCCGUCGCCGGGACUUGAACCCGGGUCUCUCGGGUGAGAGCCGAGUAUCCUAACCACCUAGACUACGACGGAAUUGCUGUACAGUGUAUAGCAUUCCGUAGAAAGUUAAGACACAACAGGAGGAGUAGCACCGAAAGAGUUUUUUUUUAGUUGAGCACCGGAAGAGUAAGGAGAUGAGAGAGGGUGCAGCGCUGGCGGCAUCUCCAACCCUGGUUGGGUGCGGUGCGAGGAGGCCCAACACAUUUGCUGUGGGAGAAACACCCGUAAGACGACCACACGCUCCCUUCCGUCUUCCUUCUCUCCGCCGGAAUUUCCUAUUGGACAUACGUUGCGUCAUACUGUCGAGGUUUCGCACAACGGGAGACCGAGGCGAUCGUUCGACUGGGCCUGCCCGUUUAAGCUUUCAUCGUCCCGGGUUUUGGGAACCUUCUAAAGAUUUCCAGCCGGUUUUUUCUAGUUUUGGGAAACUUCUAGAAGGUUCCUAAACCGGUUUUUCCUUGUUCUGUUUUUUUCUUCUUUUUUUCCUUUUUUUUUCUUUUUUCCUUGUUCUGUUUCCUUUUCUUUGUUUUUUCUUUUUUUUGUUUCUCCAUUUUUUUUCUUUUGUCCUGCUUUUUUCAUAAAAAUAUUUAAAAUUUGUUCACAUUUCCAAAACUUAUUCGGUAGUUUAAUUAUUCUAAAAAUUUAAAAAUGUUCGCAUUUUUGGAAAAAAUGUUCAAAUUAUUCGAAAUUUGUUCCCUUUCCAACAAAUGCUAGGAUAUUUUCAAAUAAAAGACUGCAUUGUCUGUAAAAAAUGUUCGUGUUUUACAAAAUUUGUUCAAAGAUUUCAAAAAAGUUUCUGGAUUCAAAUUUUUGUUCACGUAUUCAAAAAAUGUUUGUGCUUCCCUAUUUUUUCAGAAUUUUUGAAAUUGUUUUCCAUUUCAAAAUUUGUUCUCAAAUUUUAAAAAAAUGUUCUUGCUUUAGAAAAUUGUUCACAAUUCUGAAAAGGUCUAGUCUUUCAAAAAAUGUUUGUGCUUCCAUAUUUGUUCAGGAUUUCGAAAUUAUUCUCUGUUUCAAAAUUUGUUCUCAAAUUUUAAAAAAUGUUCUUGCUUUACAAAAUUGUUCACAAAUUCAGAAAAUGUUCAUGUUUUCAAAAAAAGUUUGUGCUUCCAUAUUUGUUCAAGAUUUUCGAAAUUGUUCUCCGUUUCAAAAAUAUUCUCAAAUUUUAAAAAAUGUUAUUGCUUUAGAAAAUUGUUCAAAAAUUCUGAAAAUGUUCAUGUUUUCAAAAAAUGUUUUUGCUUCCAUAUUUGUUCAGGAUUUUCGAAAUUGUUCUCCAUUUCAAAAUUUGUUCUCAAAUUUUAAAAAAUGUUCUUGCUUUAGAAAAUUGUUCACAAAUUCUGAAAAUGUUCGUGAUAUCAUAAAAUUGUUUGCUCUUUUCAAAACAAAAUCGCACGUUCAAAAUUUAAUUAAAAUUUAAAAAAUUGUAAAGCAAUUUUUUCAAACAGUGUUAAGUCUUGUACUUUCUUUAGUUCUUAUAGUUUCCGUUGUAUAUUGGUCAACUGAGCCCUUCCGUCGUAGUGGCUAGUAGCGUGCGUGCACAAGUCAGCAGUCCUUUGUUCGAUUCCCAUCCAGCGCGCCCUGUAUGUUUUUUGCAAUUUUUCACCUGCUAUUUUCGGCGCACUGCAGUGGGCCGGCCCAAUCGGCACUGCGACGACGUGCCUGUGCGAAAGGGCAGCAUUUUGACGCAGAACAUGUCAUAUAGGAACUCCCCUCUCCGCCUCCCCCUCCGCUUGAGAGUCGCUCAGGACAACCCGUUUGAUCCCAUGCUUGGUCCGCGUUCGGAAUCUCCUUGUAUAUAGUCGUGCAGUCGUUGGCCAGGUGUCGCUGUUUGGUGUUAUGUUCUUGGGAUGCCAACCACGAGAGUGGUGGUGGUGGUCGCGUCUUCUACUCCGACUCCAUGGUGAAGAGAAGUGGAAGGUGCUGAAUCCGACAGAAUUCCCCGCAAUAAACAUGUUGUAUCAUCUUAAAAAAAAUCCAACAAGUACUGGCAUUUCAUUUAUAAUAGUAUACGCAGAGUAUUUACAGUGCCAAAAGGCAAGGACUAAAGCAAGAAAAAUGAAAUAAACUGAAAGAGAAGCUCAGGGAGAUCAACUACACUCCCGAAAGGAAGCCCCCCCUCCCCCCGCGCUUUAUAUAUAAAGCAUCAUCAACACAACAUCGAGCAAGAAGAUAUAAACGCACGCCGCCGCCACACUCAACACACACACCCAAGGUGAGAUACAAAGCUGCCGAGCACCGAAAACACCACCCCAACGACGACUAAGCACCCUAAUGAUAAGUCGAAGACCACCAUGAAGAUGAGCAAUCCACCGAGGGGUAAUGAGACGGACAAAGCCGGAGCGAGGACUCCAAGACGAUGCCCUCAAGAGGGAAACGACUGUAGGAAGCCGUCACCGUCUGAUCCCGAAGAUCAGGUUUUCACCCGGAGUGACACGAAGGCAAUGGGAGCACCACGACGGAGCCUACAAGAAGGAGAACGACAUCCACGGACGCCGCCUCCGUCGGCCAGUACAGGGACUGGGCGAGUGACGAACCCCGGUGCUCCUACCCUCCGUCGCAACCUCACUCCGCCAACCACCCGCAUCCAUGCCGCCCAAGCGACCAUGGCUGCCCGCCCGCAGCCGUGCCGCGCGGUCAGCCCACGACCAACACGCCUCCCACCGCCAGAGCCGCCGCCCUGCAUCCAGACCGCCCCGAGAACCACCAAAGGUCGAGGCUUUGAGCAAUCUGCGUCCGAGACCGCCAGCAAACCCGCCGAACAAUGCUGGAACCGAUAAUAAACAGAGAUGGGGAAGGGGGAAGGGUCGCCCGCGGCCAUGACCGGCGACAACACAGUGCCGGCGUCGGGCAGCUCGGCAGCGGAUCUCCCGUCCCUCCAACUGGCUCCCCCCCCCCGAAACCACCGUUUCGCCCCACCCUGCCAUAGGCCCGGCCCCGAGCACGGCCACGACAGAAGCCCGUCACCGGAGAGGAGGGAGCAGAGCCUGCCGCCGCGUCCAAGGAUGGCCACCAGGGGAGUCUCCCGCGCCGUGCGUCGGCGACCAACCGCAAGGGCCCGGCCUGGCCGCGGCGCGCGCAUCCACCCGNNNNNNNNNNNNNNNNNNNNNNNNNNNNNNNNNNNNNNNNNNNNNNNNNNNNNNNNNNNNNNNNNNNNNNNNNNNNNNNNNNNNNNNNNNNNNNNNNNNNNNNNNNNNNNNNNNNNNNNNNNNNNNNNNNNNNNNNNNNNNNNNNNNNNNNNNNNNNNNNNNNNNNNNNNNNNNNNNNNNNNNNNNNNNNNNNNNNNNNNNNNNNNNNNNNNNNNNNNNNNNNNNNNNNNNNNNNNNNNNNNNNNNNNNNNNNNNNNNNNNNNNNNNNNNNNNNNNNNNNNNNNNNNNNNNNNNNNNNNNNNNNAGGAAGGCCGACCGAACGACAGACCCUUUUAUUUCCCUGACCAUGAUGCCACAGAGGAAGCAGUGCGGCUUCAGUGCGGAGCCCAUGGCGUGCAACCGUGUAGAGCAUGUGGGGCCAAGCGGACUCGUCCCCGGCGUCGACGAACUUAGUUAUGCAUGGAAGUUAUUUCGGACCUGAUUACAUUUCCCUUUUGCCUCUUAAGGUUCUUGCAUAAACUAGGAUCAAGUAUUGCAAAUCUCAUUUUAGUCACAUUGACAUGGAAGGAAUCCGUAAAGAAAGAUCUGAAGGAUUGGAGUAUAUCAAAGAACUGGUCAUGGACAGGGGUGCGUGAAAGCUUGCUAUCCAUGUGCCAGAACUAUAAGUUGACCGCGAGAUUUUAUGGGUUUCACCUCUAGCCUACCCCAAUUUAUUUGGGACUGAAGGCUUUGUUGUCGUUGUUGUUGUUAGCUUAUUGUUUUUAAAUGUUCAAAUAAAUACAGAAAUAUUACCCCAUCCACAUCAUCUAUCUACCAUUAUCAAUCUCUUCACCAAACUAGUGCACUUAUACAAUUGAAAAUUGUAUUAGGUUUGCUGGGAACACAAGAGACUUCUUAUAUCAGGGUUGCUUGAGAGGAAAAUACAACCAUCCUACACCUCCCACAGAUUGGUAAAUCUUAAGUUAUCCACUCGAGGAAAAAUUAUUGUUGUUCUAGAAAACUCUGUGUUUGGAGGUCCAACAAAGUCUACAAAUAUAGAAGUUACAUGGUAGACAUGGGCGAGCAAGGGAUGGGGAGGUCGAAGAGUGCGAGGGGCAGAGACGGGAGGUACAGGAUGAGGCGAGCUAUUGUAUUUGCAACACGGUGGUGGCACCGGCAGAUGAGAGCGCCCAGGAAAGUGGUCAUGCCAUGAAGUGCUCAUGCUGAUGCCCAGGGAUGUAGAAAGUUGUCGAGAAGCUACACUCCCAGACGAUGGCUCAGCUCCAUUUUUCGUACAGAGAAGUUGGCUGAGGAGUUGAGGGUUGUGGAGAGUUAAUGAACAGACCCAUCUUUAGCCACGUACCCCUAAUUUGACCCCUCAAAUGCCCGCGGACGCGCCCGGUCAGUGACCGGGCGUGUCCAUUUAGAGUCCCUAUUUAUCCGUCCGGAAAGCCACACUUCUCAUUUUCUUCUUCAUAUUUCCAGUCACGUGCAUGUGAUUGGCGAAGAUGAAGAGAGAGAAAGAAAAAAAUAAAUAAAGAAAGAGAAAAGGUGGUCCGGGAUGGGGCCGCAUCCAACGUGGCGGACUACCAGGCGCGCCCGAGCGCGUCGGCGAGCCCUCAUAUCCUCCCCAUAUUUGAGAUGGAUAUAAGGGUUCGCGGACAGCCCGAAUGUAUAGGAUGAUAUGAGGGGUCCGGCUAAAUGACGUUUUUCCUUCUCAUUCAUGUCUAGUCACUGACCGGGCACGUCCACGGGCAUAUGAGAGAUCGUUUGAGCCGUCCGGCCGUAGAUGCUCUAAGACCAAUAUGAGCACUCAGGUCUUGCUUAAGCCACGAGUAUGAAUGAAAAAGGUAAGGACUUCUUUGGUUCUAAGGAAAAGUGGAGGGAAAAUGUAGGAGUAAUUCUUGUGUAUGGUGAUACUAUUUGUGCCUUUGGUUCAAAAGAAUGGGGCAAAUGAAGAACGAGACUAAGAUCCUUAAUUGCAUAAUAACAUACUGUACUAAAUUUCUAUCUUUGUUAAAAUGUCUAUGUUUUUUUUCGUUCGAGUGAACCAAACAUCAAAGUUGAUAGAAGUCCUACGUGUACCAAUCAAUUUUUUACGCGUGCAUUUCUAUCAUAUUUAUAUGUUUUUUCUAUUUAUGCGUUUUUAGAAUUUCAUGAACCAAAGUAGCCCUAAAUGGGUAAGCACGGAGAGAUGAUACCCUAUGCCAUAGAACCCACAAUAAUGUCUAAUGGCUAAGAGCAUCUCCACUCGUUCGGCCCCCCAGCGCAUAGGCCGGCGCUAUUUCGGGCGCCCACCCGGCGCUUUUUAGGCCCUGGGGGCGAUCUAGCUCUCAGCCACGCCUCCAGUCGCGGCAAAUUCAAACUUGGUCAUUUCCGCUCCCAAAAAAAGCCACAAGUCUGGCGAUCAGCGGCCCAGUUCGGCGAUCACCUUGCUACAGUUCGGCGAUCAAAUAAAAAGUUCGGCGUACAAAAAAAAGAAAUGACGCGUGGGCAACGCAUCAAACGGCGGGGUCGGCCUCCGGCGUCGGCGGAGUCGGCGUGCGCGGGCUUGGUGGCGUCGGAGCUGCUUCUAUGCUGGGCGGCGUCGGCGCGUCUUCUGUGCUGCUGGGCGUCGUGGAGGCAUCAUCGCUCGGGCUUGGCGGCGUCGUCGGCGUGGGCGUGGGAGUUGGUGGCGUCGUCGACGCCAGCUGGUUAUGGAUGAGGCCGCGCUCCACCAGGUACCACGCCUUGAGCUGCUCGUCGUUGCUCUGGAGCAUGUCCGCCCCGCCCAUCAGGAAAGCCAGGUCAGUGUUCCUCUUCUUUGCGACAACGUUGGUCCGGAGUAGAUCGAGAUUGACGGCGUUGUUCGUCAUCAACACCGAUCACCGCGCGUCGGUCUUCUCUUCACGCAGGGCUGCCCGGGCCUGUGCAUCGGCGAGGCAAUGCUCAAUGGACUCUUGCACUCGCGCAGUAGUCGCGUCGGCGUGCUUCCCCUUCUUGGCCCCUUUGUUUCCUUCGGGGCGCCCGUCGCCCGCGCCCGGCGUCGGCGCGUCCGGCUGAUAACCCACAAGUAUAGGGGGUCGCAACAGUUUUCGGGGAUAGAGUAUUCAACCCAAAUUUAUUGAUUCGACACAAGGGGGGCCAAAGAAUAUUCUCAAGUAUUAGCAGUUGAGUUUUCAAUUCAACCACACCUGGAAAACUUAAUAUCUGCAGCAUAGUGUUUAGUAGCAAAGUAGUAUGGAGGUAACGGUAACAGUGGCAAAGGUAAUAGUAGCAGUUUUGUAGUAAUUGUAACAGUGGCAACAGAAAAGUAACUAAGCAAAGAUCAAUAUGUGAAAAGCUCGUAGGCAUUGGAUCAGUGAUGGAUAAUUAUGUUGGAUGCGAUUCCUCAUGCAACAGUUAUAACCUAGGGUGACACAGAACUAGCUCCAGUUCAUCAAUGUAAUGUAGGCAUGUAUUUCGAAUAUAGUCAUACGUGCUUAUGGAAAAGAACUUGCAUGACAUCUUUUGUCCUACCCUCCCGUGGCAGCGGGGUCCUAUUGGAAACUAAGGGAGAUUAAGGCCUCCUUUUAAUAGAGUACCGGACCAAAGCAUUAACACUUAGUGAAUACAUGAACUCCUCAAACUACGGUCAUCACCAGGAGUGGUCCCGAUUAUUGUCACUUCGGGGUUGCCGGAUCAUAACACAUAGUAGGUGACUAUUGACUGAUUACCGACAAGUAUAGGGGAUCGCAACAGUUUUCGAGGGUAGAGUAUUCAACCCAAAUUUAUUGAUUCGACACAAGGGGAGCCAAAGAAUAUUCUCAAGUAUUAGCAGUUGAGUUGUCAAUUCAACCACACCUAGAUAACUUAAUAUCUGCAGCAAAGUAUUUAGUAGCAAAGUAGUAUGGAAGUAACAGUAACGGUAGCAAAAGUAGUAUUUUUGGGUUUUGUAGUGAUUUUAACAGUAGCAACGGAAAAGUAAACAAGCGAAGAACAAUAUGUGAAAAGCUCGUAGGCAUUGGAUCGGUGAUGGAGAAUUAUGCCGGAUGCGAUUAUUCAUGCAACCAUUAUAACAUAGGGUGACACAGAACUAGCUCCAAUUCAUCAAUGUAAUGUAGGCAUGUAUUCCGAAUAUAGUCAUACGUGCUUAUGGAAAAGAACUUGCAUGACAUCUUUUUUCCUACCCUCCCGUGGUGUGGCACCCCGAUCCGCAUGGAGCAGGGGGCCUUCGCACGUCAGCCCAGGAUUACGCCUGACGCACGACAGGUCCAUGAUACAGCAUUCCAGGUACAAUAAUAUUCAUCAAAUACAUGUGUAUAUGAUUACAUCAUUGAUGAAUGCAAUUAUCUGGCAUAGCCCUAAGGCUAUAUGGAUGGCAGCGGAAGUCUAUUUAAAUGGCGGCGGAAGUCUUGGUUUGGCAGCGUCUCAUCUAGGCUGGGCUCCACAACUCACAGGACUGGCAAGAUUACGGCCUAGCACGAUGGAACAAACGAACGAGUAGGGCACGACCUACAAAACUGGCAUGACACGCCAGGUCAGUACAUUGAAUGUACUUGCAAGACAACCAAAUACAUAGCAUCCAAACAAACAGAUGACAAAGCAAGAACCAAGCAUAUGAAACAACCUACCUCAUAGCAGAAACUAAGCAUGGCAAUGGCAUAUCAAACUUACUUCUAACAUGGCUACCGCAAAGCAUAACAUAUCAAAACAUGGCAUACCAAAGCAUGGCAUAAAUUCAGUCAAAGCAUGGCAUGGCAUCAUGAAACAAUGCUGAAAAUAAACUACCAGUCAUAUCCGAUGCAAACAUAACAUGUUAACUUUAUGCAACCAUCUACUGUUCUACCAUAGUUCCUUAAAGGCAAAUAACACUUACUACUCAUGCAAUGCAAACAAAAUGUGCAUCGAGUCCCUCGGACUCUCUUACCAGUGGGUUGCCUCGCAAUCAAACGAUGAUCAUGCACGGAUCAUCAACGAAACCACACUUGGUUCAACACUCACCGAGACCUUGUCUCGUGAUCAUACCAACUCAUCAUCGUGAUUAUUCACGACUGUCUCACAGUCCAAGUCACCACAUUAUUUCACAUUAUUCAUCAACUUAGUUAUAUUAGGUUUAUCCUCCAUUUCUACCGAGACCUGAUAGUGUGACCUACUACGAACUUGUGCCCAUGACCGAGGACGCGGCUAUCGAUAGAUUUAACACACACACUCUGCAGAGGUAGCGCACUGUACCCACACAACGAAACCCAUGGCCUCGCACUCCCAUUCGGCUGGAACAACGGCGUUCCGACAAAACCGAUCUAUUGCCAUGACACUCUCCCGGCCACUCCGACCAACACCCCUUUUGGGUUUAGUCCUGGGUGGCCCAUGCCUACCAAAGGUCUUACGGCCACCGUCGUGGCAAAAACGGUCCCAAACAGGGACAAAGCGCGCAAAACAACUCGGGCUCACAAGGUUCAUGUCCGCCUACGUGAUCAGGGUAGCGCGUGCCCAUAACCUUCCAUACGUUGGAGGCACCAGUGAGAGGCAUGACAAUAGACCUAUUAGGGCCUUCCCAUUCCAAGGCAAAUGUGGCUGCACUGGAAAAAGCCCAAUUUGGUGGCACUAUGACAUCCCAGUGAUGACGGAGGAGGUUUGUUAUCCAGUCAUAUUAUUAACUUCUUCAUCAUCGAUCAUUAUGCGAGCACUAUUAACAAGAAUGCAACAACUAACAUGCAACAUACCGAUGCAGUAACAAAACAGCAAGCAUUUCAAAUAAACAAUGAUAGCAUGCGAAACAUAGCAAUACCAAGAACUAGCAAAACUUAUCAGUGCAACAGAAUUAUCAUAGCAUCGUUACUACUAACAUGAACUAAACUAGACAGAGGCAUGAUAUUAUCAGUAACAACAACAAACUAGCAUGUCAACUAUUUCAUGAGAGCACAAACAUGCAAGACAGAUAACAAAAGCAUAUAGCACGAAUGAAAUGACAACAGACGGAACAAACAAGAAACUACUGCAACUAAACACACACACGAGGUGCAAGCAAAGUCAACAUGCAAGUUCAGGGCUCAUUAUAAGAGGUUGGCUUGCCUCGGGUCGAGAAAUACUUCGGGAAAAAUGUGGAAUGAUCGCGGAAAGAUUUGCCAGAAAUAGUUCUCUCUAGGAGGGGGCUGUUCACGGGCAAGGGUAAAGUGGUCAUUUUCACUGUGUGAAAACAUAAUGAAAAUGAUACCAAUGGAAAGAGUUCGAUGAGACGAAGACGUGAGCGUUGGUUUCACAUCAAUCGGAGUUACGGUUGUCGAGAUACGCAGGGUUGAAGUUCAGGGACCUAUCGGUGAAAGUUUUCCAGCAAACAGGCCCCUGGAGGAAAAACUGAACGCGCCUUUCUCAGAAAUAUGCUUUCCAGAGAGGAAAGCGCAUUCUGGCCCGAAGAGGAAGCGAAUACGCUUUCGGUUAAGGGAAGCGCAUUUUCGGGAGUACGUGGUCACUUAUCCACGUCAGCGCCUGGGGUCAACCCCUAGUGCGACUGACGGGUGGGCCUUGCGGAGGUGGGACCCGCCUGGCUUGCGUCUUCAACCUCCCGCUCGCACGCCCGCCGGGAAGAGGGAGGUUCUCUCCUCGACGGCGAUAGCCGGCGCAUCCGGCCACCGCUCGCGACGGCCGACCUACCCACGGGUUCAGGAGCGAGAGGCGCAUCCCGUGGUGUUGUCAGCUGCCGUCGAGGGGCACUAGGGAAGGAGCAGCAAGGUGGGCGGCGGAGCAGGGCUUCGGCCUCCGGCGAACAGGGGGCUCCGGUGGGGAAUGGGGUGGGCAAGGCAACGGGGAGGCUCACCGGACCCUGGGGAAGGCAGUGGUGGAGGUGGAGCGGCGAGAGGGGAGCGGCAUCGCCGGAAUCGAGCGGAGCCCAAGGCGGCGGCCGUGGCAAUGGGGAGGGGUCAGAGAGCUCCUCGAGCUCGAGCUAGAGGUUCGGGGGGGCUUGUGGACUGCGAGGGGCUCGGGGGCGGGCUUAAAUAGACGUGGGGAAGGCUCGAGGGGGAGGGGAUGAGGUGACACGCGGCAGGCGACGUGUCCGUGCGCCGGCGAUGGCCAUGCGCGGCCAAGGCUCACGGGAAGCAACGGGAAGGCGACGAGGGGGAUGCGGACGACGCGCGGGAGGACAAGAGGGGGAAACGGACAGGAGCGAGGAAACGACGACGAGCUCACGGAUAGGGACGGUUCACCGACGGUGACGGCUCGUCGAGGAAGCAAACGAAGGGGAAACGGGCCAAGACGCACGGCGAGGAUGAGGCUGAGUUGGUUGACAAGGUUGGACGAGCCAAAGCCAGCCGGAGCUGCGCCACUGUGGCCAACAGCGGCGAGACCAACGAUUUGGCCUGCAUAGCCCCAUGGUCACCACCGACUUUGCGCUCUCUAGUCGUCAACUAAGGGCCAAACCUUGUCUACAGCGUAGUCCUUCCAAAGCUCAUUAAGACUUAGGUGAUGGCACAGGCAGAGGUGUAGAGAGCAGAGGGAACCAAGCUCGACAAGUUUGCUGUUGCAAACUUGGCCACAUCUUGGUGAUCAAACCAGAGAGGUUAAGGGCGAAGAUUGAUGUCCUGGAGGUUUAAGCUAGCAAGGACUACGGUCCUGGGAAGUUGGAGGGGAUUUGGACAAAGAUUUAGCAUAGUUGUAGUGCAACGGCCAAAUCUGGUCCAGAAACCAAAUGAUGAAGGAGCACUCACUAGGAGUGUUGGAUUGGGCUAAAACUUGGCAAAGCUUCCUAAUUUGGUCAUAUAAUGAUGCUGUAAAAAUAUCAUACCAAAUGGACUUGCCAAAUUGGUACUUUUUUCACAAGCAUCACAUCUGACCAGAAACUUUGGAAAAAUCCAGGGAAAUAUUGGCUACAUGAAAUGAGCCAAAAGUUGGUCUAGGUGGGUUAUUUGGAUAGGAGAAGAAUUGGGAAUAUUUUCAGCCAUAAUGGAGCAAGAUAAAAUGUACUUGCUUCACAAACUGAAAAUUUGGACAGAAACCAAGAAUUGCUCCUGUGCUCACAUAGUUCAAUGAAUUGAACUGAAUUUAGGUGGAGGCUAAUGAUUUGGAAUACUUGAGAAGAUGGAAAAGUUUCAUCCCAUUUGGAAACUCUAUGAAGGUACUUCCUUCACAAGCAUGCCAUCUGGUCAGAAACUUUGAAAAAUUGCACAGGGAGCUAGGAUGAAUGGAUUGAGCUCAUCUUUGGUAUCCAUGGGUGAUUUAUCAAGGUUAAUCACCUUGCCAAAUUGCAGCUCAAUUGGAAUUAGGAAUAAAGCACUUCCUUUGCAAAAAUUUCAAAGAGGGCAGAAACUUGCAUUGGAUCAUGUGCUCAAAUUAUGAUCUUUGGAACAUGGGUUUGGAUGGAACUAGUGAUUAUAUAGCAAGGACAAGCUCCACAAUUUAUGUGAGAAUUUUCCCUGCUAUAAAAAUAGUAGUUCCUUUAGAAAGUGGCAGAAAUGCAAUAUUGGUAUUAAAUAGGAAAAUGCAGUUUUCCAUAUUUAAUUAUGGCCAAUAUCUUUGCCAGAGCUUGGAUUAGGCAUAAAUAUCAACUCCACCAAUUCUCAUGAAUUUAGGAGAUGGCUAGCUAUGCCUUUGGAUUUUAUUCCUCAGAAAGGCAAGAAAAGGAAUAAAUCAUAAUUCAAAAAUAUUGCAUGGGACUUAGCAAUAUUUUUGCAUAUCCAAGGAUUAGUAGGAUAGGAGGGUCUCCAGGAAUAGAUGGGACGAUCAACAGAUUGAGGAAAAUGAUGGCUCCUUUGUAUUCACAAAGGGCACAUUCAAAUUCCAAAGAUUGGAACUAGGGUUUGAAAGGAUUUGAGAUGAUGCAAAAGAGGUCUUGCCCACUGACAAAGACAUGAGCAAGGUUUUGAAAGGUUGGAAAUGGCAAAAGUUUCUCAGAGUCAUCCAGCAAACUCAGGAGGAAAUUUUGAAAAUGAGUGCCAGGAAGGAAUAACAGCUCAAAAAUUGAUAACCCAAUUUUGGGGUUGUUACAAACCUUCCCCCCUUAAAAAGAAUCUCGUCCUCGAGAUUCCUAGGGUUACAGCACAAAUGAAAGGGUAACCACUCCGGGGAAAAACCUCGGGGUUAAUUUUAACCCUUUGGUUGGAUUCGAAAGAGUUGGGGGCACCGAUAAUUGGUACACCCGGAGAGAUAUGGGCAAACACGGUUAAAAAUCCACGGCUAGGGCACUCGAGAUCAGACUCUCGAAAAAUUGCUAGAUGCACCCUAGUGAAUAGUGGAUUCACCUGCUGACACGUGGGUCCAGGGCCCACUGGCAGCCUCCUUCUUCUACCUCCGGCUAGCUGCUUCUUCGGUGAUGCUGCUUCGUGUGCGGCUUAGCGCAGUGCGCAUCUAGCCCCUAGGGCGAUGAGGACCCUAGUGUCGUAGUGCGCGGCAUGCACGGCGCCGGUGCAGCGAGCACUCACGUUGCGGGCCAGCACCUUGUCGGCACUGCGCGGAUUCGCCUCCUGGAUGCCGGUGAUCGAGCGACGAGUGGUUCUCGUGGACCUCGCUCAUCGUACACCGGGGUUGGGCUAUGAAAGACGGCAGCGCGGCUCUCCUCCAACGCACAAACACAAUGCCGCUCUACUACCUCUUCGGUUUGGGCGAGAUCGAGCCGAGCUCCUUCGGCGAGGAGGUGUUCUUGGUGGCGCUGCGGUGAUUCCUAGCUGCGCUGCUGGGCACGCUGAUUGGCUCGUCGAUCAUCCUGCUGACGAUCAUCAGGUACGAGCGAGCUCGAGGCAACGCGCGGCCAGCUGCGGUGGCUUGAGGUGUGGAAGAAGAUGGUGCACGGGGUGGUCCUCCGCCACGCUUGAUUCUCCGACGCUUCGUGCCGGCGGAGUAAUCGCGUGCUGCGGGGGAGCGGUGGUGGCGACUCGGCUGCGCUACCCUAGGCAGUGAUGGUGCGGGUGGUGGGGUCCAGAUGCAGGUGAGGUGACUGCGCCAGCUCAGCAUCACACUGGGGUACAAGGAAGAUUUCGUGGAUUGCUCCACGAAAAAGUAGGUGUCGAGGUAGAAUCGGAGUUGAAAUCUGUAUUGUGGUAGAUGUACUGGAUUGAAUGAAAUAAAGUUGGCAGCGUUCCUCCGGAAAUGAAAUCGGGAAAAAGAAUUGGAGACAAGGAACUGCCAGACGGAAAUGCCUCUGCGAGGCUCUGGUUUUGGAAAAUCUGGCACACGGGGUAUGCACAGAUAGAGAUAGGGAUGCGUGACUUUGCUUUCCCCCGAGUACUGCCCGAAUGUACUCGUGGGUGAACCGGGUAUGCAUGCAGUAUGCAGUACACACAAACUAACAAACAAACCAAUGCAACAAACAUGCAAUGCAAACACAACAGACAAAUCAUUCUAAGGUGUUUUAAUGCUAGUGGGUAUAUGUAAUCCUGGCAUACAUAUACCUACACCAGCGCGCAUUUUAUUAAAGACUCGGGACGAGCCAAUGUUGUUUUUAGUGUAUGUGCUCUACUGAUUAAAGUCUUGUUAGCAACACAUUGCCAACCCUGUCAAACAUCUCUGCUUGACAGAGAGACAAACAAGCGCGAAAACAAAAGCACGAAAACACACACAGCAUACGGAUUACAGCAUACAACAAAGCACGAACGCUCUACGCGCUAAACGAAAUUACUUACUCCGGGAUACACAGUUCUAUCCUCAUAUCGAGGAUGAACCGACAGACCGACCUACUCGCAGAAACACCUAACUGCGUGACUGAGGUCAUGCAGAGGGCUGGCCUUGCUGGGGCUCUCCGGGAGGACGAAGACUGAGCCAAUCUCCAUCUUCAUCGUCUGACGGCACUAUGGGUUGGGGUUCGACUACUGGGGGUGUGGCUGAAAUCGAUCCAAGCAAAUGCUGCUCGUGGAUCCGUAAAAGAGCCUUGUCGAGGGUGACGAUGUUUGGUCUAGGCCACAACACAGGCUAAGAGGGUAGCAUUGGUUCGGAUGGCAUGGGGUGGAUGGCUUGAGAUGCGAAUUUACGAGCCUCACGAUAAGCUUCCUUGACAACUCGUACCGCAUCGUUGUCCAGGGUUCUAAACUCGGCAAGCAUCUUGGAAAUCAUCAUCCCCUGGGCAGUGAUAUACUGCACCAGGCGAGCGAUUGCGGGGUCAUCUCCUUGGAUAGUGGGAGAAGGCUGAAUUCCCGCUUCUGCCACAAUGGGGAAAAAGCAGAACUCCCGCCUUUGUGCCACUUGCGGAAACUUGGUUUGGAGGUAUAGGGUGGCCUCCACGGCAGCGGCCUGAAUGGCUAAAUCAGCGGUAGGCAUGGCUCUACCCUGAAAAACCAAAGGCUGGCCAUCUACUGCGGGACCUGGGCUGAUGUGCACUCUUGCAUCAUAGCGAUGAAGGUGAGGGACGGGUGUCGACUGGAACACCAGGUAAUCAGGGCUAGCCUUACAACCAAAGGCUUUGGUGAGCAUCUCGGUAAGAAGGGGUGGAAAGCCAGUGUGGUUGAUGGCAAAGGUGCGGCUGUGAAACUUGGGAGCUUUGAAGGUGCUAGCCAUGGCUGGGGUGUUACUAGCGAGGCUUCUCUACAAGGACAUGGCUGAUUGAGGGGUGAACGAUACGGCUAGCGGAAAGGGGGCUUUUAUAGGCAGCUAUGCCGGACAUGACCGCAUGGUGUGGCUCCCUUUCCUUAAUGGCGAAGGGCAUGCGGUGCGGCCGACCGGAAAAGAUAGGGUUGCUAUUCAAUCCACGGAUAACUAGGCGGGGACAGUGGGGUGAGGACGUGUCGGUCCCGACUGCGCCACCUGUUGACUAACAGUGGCCAUGCCGGAUGCCACGGAUGGGUCUAAUCUCUUAGGGCCAUUACGGUUUAAUGGUAGAGGUGAUCUAAUGCUAGGAUAACCUAUGCCAGCCUGGCUGCUCUGAUACCAUCUCCUGUGGCACCCCGAUCCGCAUGGAGCAGGGGGCCUUCGCACGUCAGCCCAGGAUUACGCCUGACGCACGAUAGGUCCAUGAUACAGCAUUCCAGGUACAAUAAUAUUCAUCAAGUACAUGUGUAUAUGAUUACAUCAUUGAUGAAUACAAUUAUCUGGCAUAGCCCUAAGGCUAUACGGAUGGCAGCGGAAGUCUAUUUAAAUGGCGGCGGAAUUCUUGGUUUGGCAGCGUCUCAUCUAGGCUGGGCUCCACAACUCACAGGACUGGCAAGAUUACGGCCUAGCACGACGAAACAAACGAACGAGUAGGGCACGACCUACAAAACUGGCAUGACACGCCAGGUCAGUACAUUGAAUGUACUUGCAAGACAACCAAAUACAUAGCAUCCAAACAAACAGAUGACAAAGCAAGAACCAAGCAUAUGAAACAACCUACCUCAUAGCAGAAACUAAGCAUGGCAAUGGCAUAUCAAACUUACUUCUAACAUGGCUACCGCAAAGCAUAACAUAUCAAAACAUGGCAUACCAAAGCAUGGCAUAAAUUCAGUCAAAGCAUGGCAUGGCAUCAUGAAACACUGCUGAAAAUAAACUACCAGUCAUAUCCGAUGCAAACAUAACAUGUUAACUUUAUGCAACCAUCUACUGUUCUACCAUAGUUCCUUAAAGGCAAAUAACACUUACUACUCGUGCAAUGCAAACAAAAUGUGCAUCGAGUCCCUCGGACUCUCUUACCAGUGGGUUGCCUCGCAAUCAAACGAUGAUCAUGCACGGAUCACCAACGGAACCACACUUGGUUCAACACUCACCGAGACCCAUGUCUCAUGAUCAUACCAACUCAUCAUCGUGAUUACUCACGACUGUCUCACAGUCCAAGUCACCACAUUAUUUCACAUUAUUCAUAUUCUUAGUUAUAUUAGGUUUAUCCUCCAUUUCUAUCGAGACCUGAUAGUGUGACCUACUACGAACUUGUGCCCAUGACCGAGGACGCGGCUAUCGAUAGAUUUAACACACACACUCUGCAGAGGUAGCGCAUUGUACCCACACCACGAAACCCAUGGCCUCGCACUCCCAUUCGGGUGGACCAACGGCAUUCCGACAAAAGCGAUCUAUUGCCAUGACACUCUCCCGGCCACUCCGACCAACACCCCUUUUGGGUUCAGUCCUGGGUGGGCCAUGCCUACCAAAGGUCUUACGGCCACCGUCGUGGCAAAAACGGCCCCAAACGGGGACAAAGCGCGCAAAACAACUCGGGCUCACAAGGUUCAUGUCCGCCUACCUGAUCAGGGUAGCGCGUGCCCAUAACCUUCCCUACGUUGGAGGCACCGGCGAGAGGCAUGACAAUAGACCUGUUAGGGCCUUCCCAUUCCAAGGCAAAUGUGGCUGCACUGGAAAAAGCCCGAUUUGGUGGCACUAUGACAUCCCAGUGAUGACGGAGGAGGUUUGUUAUCCAGUCAUAUUAUUAACUUCUCCAUCAUCGAUCAUUAUGCGAGCAUUAUUAACAUGAAUGCAACAACUAACAGGCAACAUACCGAUGCAGUAACAAAAUAGCAAGCAUUUCAAAUAAACAAUGAUAGCAUGCGAAACAUAGCAAUACUAAGAACUAGCAAAACUUAUCUGUGCAACAGAAUUAUCAUAGCAUUGUUACUACUAACAUGAACUAAACUAGACAGAGGCAUGAUAUUAUCAGUAACAACAACAAACUAGCAUGUCAACUAUUUCAUGAGAGCACAAACAUGCAAGACCGAUAACAAAAGCAUAUAGCACGAAUGAAAUGACAGUAGACAGAACAAACAAGAAACUACUGCAACUAAACACACACACGAGGUGCAUCAACAUGCAAGUUCGGGGCUCAUGAUAAGAGGUUGGCUUGCCCGGGGUCGAGAAAUACUUUGGGAAAAAGUGUGGAAUGAUCGCGGAAAGAUUUGCAGGAAACAAUUCUCUCUCGGAGGGGGCUGUUCACGGGCAAGGGUAAAGUGGUCAUUUUCACUGUGUGAAAACAUAAUGAAAGUGUUACCAACAGAAAUAGUUCGACGAGACGAAGACGUGAGCGUUGGUUUCACCUCAAUCGGAGUUACGGUUGUCGAGAUACGCAGGGUUGAAGUUCAGGGACCUAUUGGUGAAUGUUUUUCAGCAACCAGGCCCCUGGAGGAAAAACUGAACGCGCCUUUCUCAGAAAUACGCUUUCCAGAGAGGAAAGCGUAUUCUGGCCCGAAGAGGAAGCAAAUACGCUUUCGGUUAAGGAAAGCGCAUUUUUGGGAGUACGUGGUCACUUAUCCACGUCAGCGCCUGGGGUCAACCCCUAGUGCGACUGACGGGUGGGCCUUGCGGAGGUGGGACCCGCCUGGCUUGCGUCUUCAACCUCCCGCUCGCACGCCCGCCGGGAAGAGGGAGGUUCUCUCCUCGACGGCGAUAGCCGGCGCAUCCGGCCACCGCUCGCGACGGCCGACCUACCCACGGGUUCAGGAGCGAGAGGCGCAUCCCGUGGUGUUGUCAGCUGCCGUCGAGGGGCACUAGGGAAGGAGCAGCAAGGUGGGCGGCGGAGCAGGGCUUCGGCCUCCGGCGAACAGGGGGCUCCGGUGGGGAAUGGGGUGGGCAAGGCAACGGGGAGGCUCACCGGACCCUGGGGAAGGCAGUGGUGGAGGUGGAGCGGCGAGAGGGGAGCGGCAUCGCCGGAAUCGAGCGGAGCCCGAGGCGGCGGCCGUGGCAAUGGGGAGGGGUCAGAGAGCUCCUCGAGCUCGAGCUANNNNNNNNNNNNNNNNNNNNNNNNNNNNNNNNNNNNNNNNNNNNNNNNNNNNNNNNNNNNNNNNNNNNNNNNNNNNNNNNNNNNNNNNNNNNNNNNNNNNNNNNNNNNNNNNNNNNNNNNNNNNNNNNNNNNNNNNNNNNNNNNNNNNNNNNNNNNNNNNNNNNNNNNNNNNNNNNNNNNNNNNNNNNNNNNNNNNNNNNNNNNNNNNNNNNNNNNNNNNNNNNNNNNNNNNNNNNNNNNNNNNNNNNNNNNNNNNNNNNNNNNNNNNNNNNNNNNNNNNNNNNNNNNNNNNNNNNNNNNNNNNNNNNNNNNNNNNNNNNNNNNNNNNNNNNNNNNNNNNNNNNGGCUCGAGGGGGAGGGGACGAGGUGACACGCGACAGGCGACGUGUCCGUGCGCCGGCGAUGGCCAUGCGUGGCCAAGGCUCACGGGAAGCAACGGGAAGGCGACGAUGGGGAUGCGGACGUCCCGCAGGAGGUCACGGAGUCAAGCGGGGCUCGAGCACAAGAGGGGGAAACGGACAGGAGCGAGGAAACGACGACGAGCUCACGGACAGGGACGGUUCGGCGACGGCUCGUCGAGGAAGCAAACGAAGGGGGAAAUGGGCCAAGACGCACGGCGACGAUGAGGCUAAGCUGGUUGACAAGGUUGGACGAGCCAGAGCCAGCCGGAUCUGCGCCACUGUGCCCAACAGUGGCGAGACCACCGAUUUGGCCUGCAUAGCUCCGUGGUCACCACCGACAUUGCGCUCUCUAGUCGUCAACUAAGGGCCAAACCUUGUCUACAGCGUAGUCCUUGUAAAGCUCAUUAAGACUGAGUUGAUGGCACAGGCAGAGGUGUAGGGAGCAGAGGGAACCAAGUGCGACAAGUUUGCUGUUGCAAACUUGGCCACAUCUUGGUGAUCAAACCAGAGAGGUUAAGGGCUAAGAUUGAUGUCCUGGAGGUUUAGGCUAGCAAGGACUACGGUCCUGGUAAGUUGGAGGGGAUUUGGACAAAGAUUUAGCAUAGUUGCAGUGCAAUGGCCAAAUCUGGUCCAGAAACCAAAUGAUGAAGGAGCACUCACUAGGAGUGUUGGAUUGGGCUAAAACUUGGCAAAGCUUCCUAAUUUGGUCAUAUAAUGAUGCUGUAAUAAUAUCAUACCAAAUGGACUUGCCAAAUUGGUACUUGUUUCACAAGCAUCACAUCUGACCAGAAACUUUGGAAAAAUCCAGGAAAAUAUUGGCUACAUGAAAUGAGCCAAAAGUUGGUCUAGGUGGGUUAUUUGGAUAGGAGAAGGAUUGGGAAUAUGUUCAGCCAUAAUGGAGCAAGAUAAAAUAUACUUGCUUCACAAACUAAAAAUUUGGACAUAAACCAAGAAUUGCUCCUGUGCUCAUAUAGUUCAAUGAAUUGAACUGAAUUUAGGUGGAGGCUAAUGAUUUGGAAUACUUGAGACGAUGGAAAAGUUUCAUCCCAUUUGGAAACUCUAUGAAGGUACUUCCUUCACAACCAUGCCAUCUGGUCAGAAACUUUGAAAAAUUGCACAGGGAGGUAGGAUGAAUGGAUUGAGCUCAUCUUUGGUAUCCAUGGGUGAUUUAUCAAGGUUAAUCACCCUGCCAAAUCGCAGCUCAAUUUGAAUUAGGAAUAAAGCACUUUCUUUGCAAAAAUUUCAGAGAGGGCAGAAACUUGCAUUGGAUCAUGUGCUCAAAUUAUGAUCUUUGGAACAUGGGUUUGGAUGGAACUAGUGAUUAUAUAGCAAGGACAAGCUCCACAAUUUAUGUGAGAAUUUUCCCUGCUAUAAAAAUAGUAGUUCCUUUAGAAAGUGGCAGAAAUGCAACAUUGGUAUUAAAUAGGAAAAGGCAGUUUUCCAUAUUUAAUUAUGGCCAAUAUCUUUGCCAGAGCUUGGAUUAGUCAUAAAUAUCAACUCCACCAAUUCUCAUGAAUUUAGGAGAUGGCUAGCUAUGCCUUUGGAUUUUAUUCCUCGGAAAGGCAAGAAAAGGAAUAAAUCAUAAUUCAAAAAUAUUGCAUGGGACUUAGCAAUAUUUUUGCAUAUCCAAGGAUUAGUAGGAUAGGAGGGUCUCUAGGAACAGAUGGGAUGAUCAACAGAUCGAGGAAAAUGAUGGCUCCUUUGUAUUCACAAAGGGCACAUUCAAAUUCCAAAUAUUGGAACUAGGGUUUGAAAGGAUUUGAGAUGAUGCAAAAGAGGUCUUGCCCACUGACAAAGACAUGAGCAAGGUUUUGAAAGGUUGGAAAUGGCAAAAAUUUCUCAGAGUCAUCCAGCAAACUCAGGAGAAAAUUUUGAAAAUGAGUGCCAGGAAGGAAUAACAGCUCAAAAAUUGAUAACCCAAUUUUGGGGUUGUUACACGUGGCAGCGGGGUCCUACUGGAAACUAAGGGAUAUUAAGGCCUCCUUUUAAUAGAGUACCGGACCAAAGCAUUAACACAUAGUGAAUACAUGAACUCCUCAAACUACGGUCAUCACCGGGAAUGGUCCCGAUUAUUGUCACUUCGGGGUUGCCGGAUCAUAACACAUAGUAGGUGACUAUAGACUUGCAAGAUAGGAUCAAGAACUCACAUAUAUUCAUGAAAACAUAAUAGGUUCAGAUCUGAAAUCAUGGCACUCGGGCCCUAGUGACAAGCAUUAAGCAUAGCAAAGUCAUAGUAACAUCAAUCUCAGAACAUAAUGGAUACUAGGGAUCAAACCCUAACAAAACUAACUCGAUUACAUGAUAAAUCUCAUCCAACCCAUCACUGUCCAGCAAGCCUACGAUGGUUACUCACGCAUGGCGGUGAGCAUCAUCAAAUUGGUGAUGGAGGAUGGUUGAUGAUGAUGACGGCGACGGAUUCCCCUCUCCGGAGCCCCGAACGGACUCCAGAUCAGCCCUCCCAAGAGAGUUUAGGGCUUGGCGGCGGCUCCGUAUCGUAAAACGCGAUGAAUCCUUCUCUCUGAUUUUUUUCUCCCUGAACGUGAAUAUAUAGAGUUGGAGUUGAGGUCGGUGGAGCUCCAGGGGGCGCACGAGGCAGGGGCGCGCCCAGGGGUAGGCGCGCCUCCCACCCUCGUGGACAGGGUGUCGGGCCCCUGGCCUUGAUUCUUUCGCCAGUAUUUUUUAUUAUUUCCAAAAAUAAUCUUCGUGAAGUUUCAGGUCAUUCCGAUAACUUUUGUUUCUGCACAAAGAUAACACCAUGGCAAUUCUGCUGAAAAUAGCGUCAGCCCGGGUUAGUUCCAUUCAAAUUAUGCAAGUUAGAGUCCAAAACAAGGGCAAAAGUGUUUGGAAAAGUAGAUACGACGGAGACGUAUCAUUGACUUGCAAGAUAGGAUCAAGAACUCACAUAUAUUCAUGAAAACAUAAUAGGUUCAGAUCUGAAAUCAUGGCACUCGGGCCCUAGUGACAAGCAUUAAGCAUAGCAAAGUCAUAGCAACAUCAAUCUCAGAACAUAAUGGAUACUAGGGAUCAAACCCUAACAAAACUAACUCGAUUACAUGAUAAAUCUCAUCCAACCCAUCACCGUCCAGCAAGCCUACGAUGGAAUUACUUACGCACGGCGGUGAGCAUCAUGAAAUUGGUGAUGGAGGAAGGUUGAUGAUGACGACGGCGACGGAUUCCCCUCCCCCGAGCCCCGAACGGACUCCAGAUUAGCCCUCCCGAGAGAGAUUAGGGCUUGGCGGCGGCUCCACAUCGUAAUACAUGAUGAAUCUUUCUCUCUGAUUUUUUUCUCCCCGAACGUGAAUAUAUAGAGUUGGAGUUGAGGUCGGUGGAGCCUCAGGGGUCCCACGAGGCAGGGGCGCGCCCUCCACCCUCAUGGACAUGGUGUGGGCCCCCUAUUGUUGAUUCUUUCGCCAGUAUUUUUUAUUAAUUCCAAAAAUAUUCUUCGUGAAGUUUCAGGUCAUUCCGAGAACUUUUAUUUCUGCACAAAAAUAACACCAUGGCAAUUCUGCUGAAAACAGCGUCAGUCCGGGUUAGUUCCAUUCAAAUCAUGCAAGUUAGAGUCCAAAACAAGGGCAAAAGUGUUUGGAAAAGUGGAUACGAUGGAGACGUAUGAACUCCCCCAAGUUUAAACAUUUUCUUGUCCUCAAGCAAUUCAGUUGACAAACUGAAAGUGAUAAAGAAAAAGUUUUACAAACUCUGUUUGCUCUUGUUGUUGUAAAUAUGUAAAGCCAGCAUUCAAGUUUUCAGCAAAGAUUAUGAACUAACCAUAUUCACAAUAACACUUAGGUCUCAUGUUUACUCAUAUCAAUGGCAUAAUCAACUAGCGAGGAAUAAUAAUAAAUCUCGGAUGACAACACUUUCUCAAAACAAUCAUAAUAUGAUAUAACAAGAUGGUAUCUCGCUAGCCCUUUCUAAGACCGCAAAACAUAAAUGUAGAGCACCUCUGAAGACCAAGGACUGACUAGACAUUGUAAUUCAUGGUAAAAGAGAUCCAGUCAUACUUAUACUCAAUGUAAAUUAAUAGUAAUGCAUGCAAAUGACAGCGGUGCUCUCCAACUGGUGCUUUUUAAUAAGAGGGUGAUGACUCAACAUAAAAGUAAAUAGAUAGGCCCUUCGUAGAGGGAAGCAGGGAUUUGUAGAGGUGCCAGAGCUCGAUUUUUGAAACAGAGAUAAAUAAUAUUUUGAGUGGCAUACUUUCAUUGUCAACAUAACAACCGAGAGAUCUCGAUAUCUUCCAUGCUACACACAUUAUAGGCGGUUCCCAAACAGAAUGGUAAAGUUUAUACCCCCCCACCACCAACAAGCAUCAAUCCAUGGCUUGCCCGAAACAACGGGUGCCCCCAACUAACAACAGUCCUGGGGGAGUUUUGUUUGCAAUUAUUUUGAUUUGGUUUGAGCAUGGGACUGGGCAUCCUGGUUACUGGCCAUUUUCUCGUGAAUGAGGAGCGGAGUCCACUCCUCGUGAGAAUAACCCACCUAGCAUGGAAGAUACGGACAACCCUAGUUGAUACAUGAGCUAUUCGAGCAUACAAAACAGAAUUUCAUUUGAAGGUUUAGAGUUUGGCACAUACAAAUUUACUUGGAACGACAGGUAGAUACCACAUAUAGGAAGGUAUGGUGGACUCAUAUGGAAUAACUUUGGGGUUUAUGGAAGUGGAUGCACAAGCAGUAUUCCCGCUUAGUACAAGUGAAGGCUAGAAAAAGACUGGGAAGCGACCAACUAGAGAGCGACAACCAUCAUGAACAUGCAUUAAAAUUAACCAACACUGAGUGCAAGCAUGAGUAGGAUAUAAUUCACCGUGAACAUAAAUAUCGUGGAGGCUAUGUUGAUUUUGUUUCAACUACAUGCGUGAACAUGUGCCAAGUCAAGCCACUCGAAUCGUUCAAAGGAGGAUACCACCCUAUCAUACCACAUCACAACCAUUUUAAUAGCAUGUUGGCACACAAGGUAAACCAUUAUAAACUCCUAGCUAAUUAAGCAUGGCAUGAGCAACUAUAGUCUCUAAUUGUCAUUGCAAAUAUGUUUCAUUCAUAAUAGGCUGAAUUAGGAACGAUGAACUAAUCAUAUUUAACAAAACAAGAUAGGUCGAGUUCAUACCAGCUUUUUUCAUCUCAAUCAGUCCAUCAUAUAUCGUCAUUAUUGCCUUUCACUUGCACGACCGAACGGUGUGGAUAAUAAUAAUAGUGCAAGCAUUUAAUACAAGGGAGAAGACAAGGUAAUAUUGGCUCUUAGUUAAAUCAGCAAUUAUGCAUAUGAGAUCCACUCAACAUUUUCAUCAAGGUCUUCUCCUCAUGGCCCCCAAAGAAAAGAAAGGAAAUAAAACUAUUUACACGGGAAAGCUCCCAACAAGCAAAAAGAAGAACAAGAAAUCUUUUUGGGUUUUCUUUUAAUUAUUACUACUACAGGCAUGGAAAGUAAGCUAGCUAAAAGCUACAACUAUUUUUUUUGGUUUUAUCUUAAGGUUUUUCAAACACACAAGAAGAAGGCUUAGAACAGAAAGUAAACUAGCAUGGAUAGUACAAUGAAAAAGUAUGAGCACCGACAACUGGCAUGAGUGUGAACAUGAAUGUAAUGUUGGUGAGAAAUACGUACUCCCCCAAGCUUAGGCUUUUGGCCUAAGUUGGUCUAUUACCACGGCUCAAAGUUGCCCUCUCCGGUGUACGGAGGAGUGUCCUCUGGGUGCCACUGGUUGGCAAUCUCCUCUGGAUCCCACUUAUAAACAGACUGUCGAUAAGGGUCAAGUGGUGGCUCAGGCUCAGGCUCUGGAACUUGUGUCAGGCUCCAGUAUGCAUAAAUGGCCUCUAGCAAGAUGAGGUACGUGCCUGAAAGUAAGUUAAACAAAGAGGGUGCAGGAAAGGUAAUAAUCUCACAGUGAGUUUUAUCAAAUAUCAAAUUAUACUUAAGCAUCUUCUUCUUAUUUUUAACAAUAAAUUCAUGUGCUACCAUACACUUAUAAUCUAGAAAAACAGGGGGCAGCAACUUUUCCUCUUUCUCAUAAUGCCUAAUAGGUAUCUCAAAGUGUUCAGCAAGGCGUGAAGCAAAGAUGCCUCCGAAGAUGGGUCCCUUUGUACGGUUCAAACUUAAUCGUUUAGCAAUAAUAGCACCUAAGCUGAAAGUUGUAUCACGAAACAAAGCAUGGCGCAAAAUGACAAGAUCAGGAGCACUAAGAUUUCCACUGUGCCCGCGACCAAUUAAGCAUCUACUAGCAAAUAUCGCAAAGUAACGUAGAACAGGAAAAUGUAUACUAGUAAUUCUUGCAUCGGAAACUUUCCUCGUUUCUCCUACAUCAAUUUUAUCAAUAAAUCCAUCCACAUCACUACGGUAUGGUUCCUCGAUGCUGCCCACAAAGGGUAUCUUGCAGACCCGACAAAAAUCAUGGAGUGACAUCUCCUUAACCUCAUCAUAUAAGUGAAACUCCACUGAAGGUGGUGAUUUCUUAGCAUGGAAAUAAAAAAUUUGCACGAAAAUAUUAGUGAGAAGGAGAUAUUAUUCGCGCUGGUCGUGGAGGAAGUCGGUGAGACCUGCAUUCUCAGCCAAGUAAUAAAAGUCAUCAUAAAUUCCGGCGGCUCUCAAGAACUCAUCACAAGGCCAUUCACACGGCCGAACCUCUGCAGUGCGAGGAAGAUUGUAUUUGGGCUUUUUAUUCUCCUCAUUUUGCUUAUCCUUCGAGCUUCGGCUCGAAGAGCCUCUCAACAAUCUCUUCAACAUUUUCUCUCUCUGAAAAUUUCUGAAUUUUUUUAGUGACUCAAAAUAAAAGUGAACCAAACUCAACAAGAUUGAUAGCAACUACUCCCACAAGUGCCUAGAGGCUAUAUCAUGCAUUAAAACUACUUUGGACCAUAUAAAUUACAUGCAAGCUCAAGAACAGGGUCACCUUAGCAGCAAAAAUUUGCAAUAAUUAAAGCACUAGAACAAAAAUUAAUUGGACCAUUGAAGGAGGCACAUACCGAAGAACAAUCCCCUAAAAUAAUUUUGUGAAUGAAGCUUUGAGCAAGGAGAUCGAAAAUGGCAGCAAGAUGAGCUAGAACACGGGUUUGAGUUACGAGAGGAUUUUUUCUGGAGGAAGACGAAGUGAGUGGGUGCAGGAAUAAGUGGAGGGGGUCCACGUGGGGUCCAUGAGGCAGGGGCGCGCCCUGGACUCUCGUGGCUAGGUGGUGGCCCCCUCUGGUGUGUUCUCAGUGCCAGAUAUUCUUAGAUAUUCUACAAAAAAUCAUAUUACAUUUUCGAGACAUUUGGAGAACUUUUAUUUUCGGGGUAUUUUUAUUGCAAGGAUAAUUCAGAAAACAGACAGAAAAUACUAUUUUUGCUUUAUUUAAUCUAAAUAACAGAAAGUAAAAGGAGGGUACAGAGAGUUGUGCUUUCUAACUUCAUCCACCUCAUGCUCAUCAAAAGGAAUCCACUAACAAGGUUGAUCAAGUCUUGUUAACAAACUCAUUCUAAAUCGCAUGAAACCGGAGAAUUUUCGAAUAGCACUAGGUCACCUCAACGGGGAUAUGCACGUCCCCAACAAUAAGAAUAUCAUGUUUCUUCUUGACAGUAGGAAGAGGAAAUUCAAAACCUCCAAUAAUGAUCGAUGGAGUUUUUCCAAUAGAAUUGAUACUGUGGACUUGAGGUUGUUUCCUCGGAAAGUGUAUCGUAUGCUCAUUACCAUUAACAUGAAAAGUGACAUUGCCUUUGUUGCAAUCAAUAACAGCCCCUGCAGUAUUCAAAAAGGGUCUACCAAGGAUAAUCGACACACUAUCGUCCUCGGGAAUAUCAAGAAUAACAAAGUCCGUUAAAAUAGUAACGUUUGCAACCACAACAGGCACAUCCUCACAAAUACCGACAGGUAUAGCAGUUGAUUUAUCGGCCAUUUGCAAAGAUAUUUCAAUAGGUGUCAACUUAUUCAAAUCAAGUCUACGAUAUAAAGAGAGAGGCAUAACACUAACACCGGCUCCAAGAUCACAUAAAGCAGUUUUAACAUAGUUUCUUUUAAUGGAGCAUCGUAUAGUUGGUACUCCUGGAUCUCCUAGUUUCUUAGGUAUUCCACCUUUAAAAGUAUAAUUGGCAAGCAUGGUGGAAAUUUCAGCUUCCGGUAUAUUUCUUUUAUUUGUAACAAUAUCUUUCAUAUACUUAGUAUAAGGAUUCAUUUUAAGCAUAUCAGUCAAACGCAUACGCAAAAAGAUAGGUCUAAUCAUUUCAGCAAAGUGCUCAAAAUCCUCAUCAUCCUUUUUCUUGGAUGGUUUAGGAGGAAAAGGCAUGGGUUUCUGAACCCAUGGUUCUCUUUCUUUACCGUGCUUCCUAGCAACGAAGUCUCUCUUAUCAUAACGUUGAUUCUUUGAUUGUGGGUUAUCAAGAUCAACAGCAGGUUCAAUCUCUACAUCAUUGUUAUUGCUAGGUUGAGCAUCAACAUGAACAUCAUCAUUAAUAUUAUCACUAGGUUCAUGUUCAUUACCAGAUUGUGUUUCAGCAUCAGAACUAGAAAUAUCAUUGGGAUUCUCAGGUGUGUCAACAACAGGUUCACUAGAAACAUGCAAAGUCCUAUCAUUUUUCUUUUUCUUCUUCUUAGAAGGUUUAGGUGCAUCAACAUUAGUUCUCUGAGAAUCUUGCUCAACUCUCUUAGGGUGGCCCUCAGGAUACAAAGGUUCCUGAGUCAUUUUACCCCCUCUAGUCAUAACUCUAACAGCAUUAUCAUUUUUCUUAUUAUUUAAUUCAUUGAGCAAAUCAUUUUGAGCUUUAAACACUUGUUCUACUUGAGUGGUGACCAUAGAAGCAUGUUUACUAAUAAGUUUAAGUUCACCCUUAACUCUAGACAUAUAAUCACUCAAGUGUUCAAUCAUAUAAGCAUUACGUUUCAAUUGUCUACCAACAUAAACAUUGAAGUUUUCUUGUUUAACAAUAAAAUUAUCAAACUCAUCUAAGCAUUGACUAGCAGACUUAUAACAACAACAAAGCCUUUAGUCCCAAACAAGUUGGGGUAGGCUAGAGGUGAAACCCAUAAGAUCUCGCAACCAACUCAUGGCUCUGGCACAUGGAUAGCAAGCUUCCACGCACCCCUGUCCAUAGCUAGCUCUUUGGUGAUACUCCAAUCCUUCAGGUCUCUCUUAACGGACUCCUCCCAUGUCAAAUUCGGUCUACCCCACCCUCUCUUGACAUUCUCCGCACGCUUUAGCCGUCCGCUAUGCACUGGAGCUUCUGGAGGCCUGCGCUGAAUAUGCCCAAACCAUCUCAGACGAUGUUGGACAAGCUUCUCCUGAAUUGGUGCUACCCCAACUCUAUCUCGUAUAUCAUCAUUCCGGACUCGAUCCUUCCUCGUGUGGCCACACAUCCAUCUCAACAUAUGCAUCUCCACCACACCUAACUGUUGAAUAUGUCACCUUUUAGUCGGCCAACACUCCGCGCCAUACAACAUUGCGGGUCGAACCGCCGUCCUGUAGAACUUGCCUUUUAGCUUUUGUGGCACUCUCUUGUCACAGAGAAUGCCAGAAGCUUGGCGCCACUUCAUCCAUCCGGCUUUGAUUCGAUGGUUCACAUCUUCAUCAAUACCCCCAUCCUCCUGCAACAUUGCCCCAAAUACCGAAAGGUGUCCUUCCAAGGUACCACCCGGCCAUCAAGGCUAACCUCCUCCUCCUCACACCUAGUAGUACUGAAACCGCACAUCAUGUACUCGGUUUUAGUUCUACUAAGCCUAAACCCUUUCGAUUCCAAGGUUUGUCUCCAUAACUCUAACUUCCUAUUUACCCCCGUCCGACUAUCGUCAACUAGCACCACAUCAUCUGCGAAGAGCAUACACCAUGGGAUAUCUCCUUGUAUAUCCCUUGUGACCUCAUCCAUCACCAACGCAAAAAGAUAAGGGCUCAAAGCUGACCCCUGAUGUAGUCCUAUCUUAAUCGGGAAGUCAACGGUGUCGACAUCACUUGUUCGAACACUUGUCACAACAUUAUCGUACAUGUCCUUGAUGAAUAUCACCUUCAUCAAAUCUAUAGAGCGAGUUUACCUUUACUACCUGUGUCGGGUUAUCAAGACCAUGUAUUUCUUCAAUAGGUGGUAAAUUCUUAACAUCUUCAGCUUUAAUACCCUUUUCUUUCAUAGAUUUCUUUGCCUCUUGCAUAUCUUCAGGACUGAGAAUAGAAUACCCCUUUUCUUCGGAGUUGGCUUAGGAGUUGGUUCAGGAAGUGUCCAAUUAUUAUCAUUAUUAAACAUAUUAUUCAAUAGCAAUUUAGCUUGAUCAACAAUUCUUUCCCUGAAAACACAACUAUCCAGGUGGUCUCUGGAAGCAUCGGUUAGUCCAUUAUAAAAGAUAUCAAGUAUUUCAUUUUGCUUGAGAGGAUGAUCAGGCAAAGCAUUAAGUAAUUGGAGAAGCCUCCCCCAAGCUUGUGGGAGACUCUCUUCUUCAAUUUGCACAAAAUUAUAUAUUUCCCUUAAGGCAUCUUGUUUCUUAUGAGCGGGAAAAUAUUUAGCAGAGAAGUAAUAAAUCAUAUCCUGGGGACUACGCACACAACCAGGAGUAAGAGAAUUAAACCAUGUUUUAGCAUCACCCUUUAAUGAGAACGGAAAUAACUUAAGGAUAUAGUAGUAAUGAAUUUUUUGCUCAUGAGUGAAUAGGGUGGCUAUAUCAUUUAAUUUAGUAAGAUGUGCCACAACAGUUUCAGAUUCAUAGCCAUAAAAAGGAUCAGAUUCAACCAAAGUAAUCAACUCAGGAUCGGCAGAGAAAUCAUAAUCCUUAUCAGAAAUACAGAUAGGUGAAGUAGCAAAAGCAGGGUCAUAUUUCAUUCUAGCAUUCAAAGAUUUUUCUUUUAGCUUAGCUAACAGUUUCUUAAGAUCAUAUCUAUACUUGCAAGCAAAAAAGUCUCUAGCAGUUUCUUCAUCCAUAACAUAACCCUCAGGUACAUCAGGCAAUUCAUAUCUAGGGGGAGAAUCUUCAUCAUCACUUUCAUUAAUAUUAUCAGUUUAAAUAAUUUCAUUCUCUCUAACCUAGCAAGUUGUUCAUCAAGAAAUUCACCUAAUGGCACAGUAUUAUCAAGCAUAGAAGUAGUUUCAUCAUAAGUAUCAUGCAAAGCAUAAGUGGCAUCAUCAAUAACAUGUGACAUAUCAGAAUCAAUAGCAGGUGUAGGUGUCGCAAGUUUACUCAUAACAAAAGGUGAAUCAAGUGCAGAGCUAGAUGGCAGAUUUUUACCUCCCCUCGUAGUUGAGGGAUAAAUCUUGGUUUUUUCGUCUUUCAAGUUCCUCAUAGUGAUCAACAGAUAUAAAUCCCAAGUGACUAAAAGAAUAGAGCUAUGCUCCCCGGCAACGACGCCAGAAAAUAGUCUUGAUAACCCACAAGUAUAGGGGAUCGCAAUAGUUUUCGAGGGUAGAGUAUUCAACCCAAAUUUAUUGAUUUGACACAAGGGGAGCCAAAGAAUAUUCUCAAGUAUUAGCAGUUGAGUUGUCAAUUCAACCACACCUGGAAAACUUAAUAUCUGCAGCAAAGUGUUUAGUAGCAAAGUAGUAUGGAGGUAACGGUAACGGUGGCAAAGGUAACAGUAGCAGUUUUGUAGUAAUUGUAACAGUGGCAACGAAAAAGUAACUAAGCAAAGAUUAAUAUGUGAAAAGCUCGUAGGCACUGGAUCAGUGAUGGAUAAUUAUGUCGGAUGCGAUUCCUCAUGCAACAGUUAUACCCUAGGGUGACACAGAACUAGCUCCAGUUCAUCAAUGUAAUGUAGGCAUGUAUUCCGAAUAUAGUCAGACGUGCUUAUGGAAAAGAACUUGCAUGACAUCUUUUGUCCUACCCUCCCGUGGCAGCGGGGUCCUAUUGGAAACUAAGGGAUAUUAAUGUCUCCUUUUAAUAGAGUACGGACCAAACUAUUAACACUUAGUGAAUACAUGAACUCCUCAAACUACGGUCAUCACCGGGAGUGGUCCCGAUUAUUGUCACUUCGGGGUUGCCGGAUCAUAACACAUAGUAGGUGACUAUUGACUUGCAAGAUAGGAUCAAGAACUCACAUAUAUUCAUGAAAACAUAAUCGGUUCAGAUCUGAAAUCAUGGCACUCGGGCCCUAGUGACAAGCAUUAAGCAUAGCAAAGUCAUAGCAACAUCAAUCUCAGAACAUAAUGGAUACUAGGGAUCAAACCCUAACGAAACUAACUCGAUUACAUGAUAAAUCUCAUCUAACCCAUCACCGUCCAGCAAGCCUACGAUGGAAUUACUCACGCACGGCGGUGAGCAUCAUGAAAUUGGUGAUGGAGGAAGGUUGAUGAUGACGACGGCGACGGAUUCCCCUCUCCGAAGCCCAGAACGGACUCCAGAUCAGCCCUCCCGAGAGAGAUUAGGGCUUGGCGGCGGCUCCGUAUCGUAAAACGCGAUGAAUCUUUCUCUCUGAUUUUUUUCUCCCCGAACGUGAAUAUAUAGAGUUGGAGUUGAGGUUGGUGGAGCCUUAUGGGGCCCACAAGGCAGGGGGCGCGCCCCAGGGGGGUGGGCACGCCCUCCACCCUCAUGGACAGGGUGUGGGCCCCCUGGUGUUGAUUCUUUCGCCAGUAUUUUUUAUUAAUUACAAAAAUAUUCUCCGUGAAGUUUCAGGUCAUUUCGAGAACUUUUAUUUCUGCACAAAAAUAACACCAUAGCAGUUCUGCUGAAAACAGUGUCAAUCCGGGUUAGUUCCAUUCAAAUCAUGCAAGUUAGAGUCUAAAAUAAGGGCAAAAGUAUUUGGAAAAGUAGAUACGAUGGAGACGUAUCACCGGCUUGUACGUCUCCUUGGCCUUGGCGAGGGUGCGCCGGACAUCCGCCCACCUCUCGCACUUCUCAAUCCGUUUGAAGACAUGGAGGUACUAGAAAUCUUGGUCGCUGCUGUCCUGGCGAUACAUGGCGAACAUCCGCAGCAGCUGCGCCGAGGAACAAACAGUUGGUGGGCGCGCACGGCAAAGAAAAGUGGGAUACCGGCGUGCCAUACCUGAUCCUUCAUGUUGGCGCCGCUCUCCAGGCGAGCCGCGAUCUCCUCGAUGAUCCUAUGCCAUUUGUUGCACGCCGUUUGGAUGAGCCCUCAAUGGUUCGCCAUUGCCUUCGACCCGCGCUGCAUGUAGAUGCCUUUGAAGUAGGGGUCGACGAGCUUGCGCUCGUCAAACUCGGCCUUAAUGCGCUCCCAAUACGUGUCGAUGCUCUGGUUCGUGCCAGUGAUCGGGUCGAGGCAAAUGACUUUCCACGCUUCGGCGAGACACUCCUGCUCCUUGGACGCCCACUUGAUGCGCGGCUCGCCGGUCCUGGCCGCCCCUUCUUCUUCUUCCGUUUCCUCACCGGAGCAGGAGUCGGCUCCUCCUCCUCCUCUGGCUCCUCCUCACCGUAGUUAAGCUCGCCAUCCAUGUCGCCGUUGAGGUCCAUUGUGUCGUCCUGGGCAGUGAACCCGGGGGACGCGGCAGCGGCGGCGAGCCGGUCGUGAUGAUGUCGUCCAUGUCGGCCUCGGUCGCGUCUGUGUCGCCGAUAUGCAACGUGGAGGCUUGUGAGAAGGGAAGCGUGCCACGGCGGAGAGGGGGGCGUCGGGGAGGAUGCGUAGGCCGGCGGUGAGUAGGUGUACGGAGGGUACUGCACGCCGGCGAAGGCGGGCGAGGGCGUGCGCUGACCAUGGGGGAAGGUGAUGUUGGGGUUGAACCCGCCGUGCGCGUCACCGUUGGCGUAGCCCGGCGACGGCGUGCAGCCCCAGGGUUGCGGCGACGACGAGAAGCCGGCCGGAGAACCGACGCUUUGCUGGCUCCAGGGCGCGUACGGGGCGUGGCCGCCGGGUGGAUUCAUCAUCCCCGCGCGAGCCGCCUCGGCUUUUUGGGCCGAGCGCUCCGCCUGCUCCGCCGCCGCCGCAGCCGCGAGCGCCAUGCUAUCCCGGGCCUUCUUGGCGUUGGCCCUGUUCCGCCGGUCGGUGGUGACAGCCUCCCGGCGCUGAACUUCUGCCCUCCAGUCGGCGUUGGACAUGCCCGGGGGCUUGGACGGCGGCGUCCUCGGCUUCCUCUGCUUCGGCUGGGCGACGGCGACAGUCGCAUCCGUCGCGGCGCGGGGCACCACGUACUUCUUCAGCGGCAUGGCGGCCGGCUGGGAGGGGAGGAGGAGGAGAUUGGCGGGAGGAAUGGAGAAUGAGAGGGAAGCCAAGGGGGAAAGCGGGAAGAAACGGCGGGAAAAGGCCCUCCUCUAGCCGAUGGAGCGGCCCCACGUCCAUUUUCGCUUGUGCCGGCGCCCCAGCGUGCCGGGUUCAGCUCAGGUGCGCCGGCUGUUAUUUCGGCCCAAACCGACGCUAAAUGAGAUCGUGGGAGCGCGACUGGGCCGAUUUUCGCCGGCCGGCGCUAAAAAAUCGCCUGGGGAAGAGACGUGUUGGGGACGCGGCUGGAGAUGCUCUAAUGGGUUCGUCAACCGGGACACGUUGAGCCUCAAAGCAAAUGUCGGUCAACCUAUCAAUACCACAUUGUCGACAUACGUGACAAACCAUGCAUGGAAGUGAGAUGCCUACCGUGGAUUUCCUGAUCCUCCGAAGGUCGAGAUACAAUUGUAUUUUUGUAAAGGGAUAAGUAUAUUUUUCGUCCUCGAACUCUGACGAUAGUAUAGAAAUCGUCUCUCAACUCCGAAACCACUAAAACGCAGUCUCUCUACUAUUUAAACCGGAUACUUUUCGUCCCUCACGACGUUUAAAGUGGUUUUGGUACGACGUGUACCCAGUUUUGACUAAAAUCAUCCACGUGGCCUGGUUUUGACUGAAAAUGUGACCGUAAAUGUGCAGUCUAGUUCAUCAUUUACAGCAAAUGUGCAGUAAUAUUUCAGAUGUCUGCUUCAAGUUCAAAUGUGACAGUAAAUGUGCAGUCUAGUUGAUCAUUUACAGUCAAUGUUACAUCUGGUGCUGCAAGUUUUCAAGUUGGAGGAAAUAAAAGAGCAAAGAAAGUCCCAGCAAAACUACUGGACUAGUGUACUUGUACUCAUGUUUGUGGUUAUCCGUGGUUAUGUCAGAAUUCAUGUUUGUGGUUGCUCGUAGUAUUUCUCACUUACUUUGUCAGAAUUUGAGAAUUCCCUUGUGGUUUGCUUGUAAGACUAAUCAGUACUAUGUUUGUGGUUGUCAGAUUAUGUUUGUCAUGCAAUCUGUUCGGUUCAGUACUCUAUCCAAUCAUCUAUUAACAAGUGAACAAUUCAAUGCAUUCAAUUUACACAAUUGUCUAAAAUCGUAUGAACAAUCUGCUAUGAAUCCCAUUCAGUUUAUAAAAUGGUCUGGAACUGAAACCAUCUAUUUAGCAUACAAUUUGCCGUUACCGAACUGGACAAAUAUGCGACUGAAAUGCUCUGAGCAAACCCAAUUUUUCAUAAAUAACAUAGGUCAGAUGACAUGCAGGUCAAAACCAGGCCACGUGGACGGUUUUAGUCAAAACCGGGUUCACGUCAUACCAAAACCACUUUAAGCGUCGUGAGGGACGAAAAGUAUCCAGUUUAAAUAGUAGAGGGACUGAGUUUUAGUGGUUUCAGAGUUGAGGGACGAUUUCUAUACUAUCGCCAGAGUUCGAGGGCGAAAAAUAUACUUAUCCCUUAUGUAGGAAGCAAACAAUAAUUUAACGAAAUAUGUAUGUGGCAACGGUGUGGCAGAUUGCAAAACUGCUACACCAUCUCAUCAACGUCCGCGGACACAAUCCCGCCUGGCAGCCCCGAUCACCGUCCCGCUUCUCCCGCGCGCACGAUCGUGCAAUCCUUUUUUUCCUCUUCGGGCAAAAAAAUUAGCGCUAAGUGGGUUCAAUCCCCCGCCUGGCAGCCCCGAUCGCACCGUUCCGCUUCUCCCGCGCGAGCGAUCAUGUAAUCCUUUUAUUCCUCUUCGGGCGAAAAAAUUAGCGCUAAGUGGGUUCGAUCCCUCAACCAACAGGUUCGCAUGUAGGCUGAGUACCACUGGCAUAAUUUCAUUUGCAUGCGCACAAGCAAAUUAGCUAAGUAUUCAGGCUGUCAAAGUUUAGAUGGAUCCAAACCAAGAUUGAUCCAUCUCGUGCUCGCAUAAAUAGAAAAGCUUGGGCACUCGCUAAAUUAACCGACACUUCUAUAAAUAAACAACUGACUAGUGUUCAAAAUUUGCUGCUACUAUAUAUAUCGGCAUCUCAAUUUCCGUACAUCUCAACUUCUGCACUUCUAUAUUUGUUUUAGCUGAUGAUAGUACCUUUGGCCUGAAUGAAAAAAUUGUUGAACCAUUCUCCUGGUAACCUCUGUGUAAAUAGCAUGUUAAUUUAUGCACCGCAGGCCUGAUAACAUAUGAACACACACCAUGGUAACUUUGACUGGGAAAAAAGUUGUUGAAUUUUACCAUGGUAACUUCUAUGUUCAUAACAUGGAAACUUAAGCUCUGCAGAUCUGACAACUCACAUACAAGCACAGUGGUGACUUUUGACCUAAGGAAAAGAGUUGGUGAAACACUCUCUUGUAAUUUUUGUGUAAAAUUUUUGGUAAUACACGCACCACGGUGUUGGUCAAUUACGUACAAACACCAUGGUAAACUUUGACCGGAGAAAAAAUUGUUAAAAACAUACCCCAGUAAUUUCUACGUAAAUAGCAUGAUAAUAUAUGCGUUGCAAACCUAAUAACUUAGAUACAAACACCACAGUAUCUUUUACCUAGGGAAGCCAACUUACAAGCAUGCCUGCACCUCCGCGCCCCUCUUGACCACCUAGCUGGCAUCACCACCGCCGGCGUGCGACAACAACAUUGGCAGGAGCAGAAAGAGACUUCACUGAAAGGUUACAUUGCCUAGUAGGCUCGCGAAAUGUUCGAUGAAGUGCGUGUCUGGUUCUUCCUGGUGUGGACAGUAGUUGUGGUCAAAAAUGACAUGUAACUUUUGAUCAAAUAAGAUUUUUAAAGCAGCAUAGGCUUGAUAAUUUGCAUAUAAACAUCAUGAUACCUUUUUGACUCAAGGUAAACAAAUAUUGGAAAAUAUACCUACGAUAAUUUUUGUGUAAUAGCAUGGUAAUAUACGCAUUGCAGACUUGAUAACUUACGUCCAAAACAUCACGAUGAUUUUUUACCUGGGAAAAAAUACCGUUGAAACAAUACUCUGGUAAUUUUUAGGUAAAAAACAUGGUUUUUAAGUAACUCAAACAUGAUAACUUACAAACAAAAUCAUGUUGAUUUUUUGAACUGAGACUUUUUUGUUUGAAACAUGUCCGGUAAUUUUGUAUGUAAAUAACAUGGUGAUAUAAACUCCAAUAACCGAUAACUUAGAUACAAACAUGGUAACUUUUUGACCCAGGAAACUUUUGUUGAAAAACACAUCGUCGCUAGCUUAUGUGUAAAUAGUAUGCUAAUAUACCUCCCACGUACUCGAUGAUUUACGAACAAAACACCGCAGUAACAUUAAUCAAGGGAUAUAAAGCUAUUCAAAAAUAUACUCGCGAUAACUUUUGUGAAAAUAGCAUGCUAAUAUAUAAACCGUUCACCUGAUAACUUGCGUAUAAACAACGCGGUAAAUUUGACUAAGGGGGAACACCUGAGACGAACCGUUCACCUGGUAAAUUUUUUGUAAAUAGCAUGGUCACAUAAGAAUUCCAUACUGAUAACUUAAGUACAAACACCGUCGUGACAUAUUUGACCAUGGAGGAAAAAGUUGCUGAAAAAUAUAGCAUGGUAACUUCUAUGUAAAUAGCAUGGUAAUAUAAGAAUUCCAUACCUGAUAGCUUAAGUACAAACACCGCGGUAAUAUUUUUGACCAAGGAGGAAAAAGUUGCUGAAAAGUAUAACACGGUAAUUUCGAUGUAAAUAACAUGGCAAUAUAAGAAUUUCAUACCUGAUAACUUAAGUACAAACACCGCGGUAACAUUUUUUACCAAGGAGGAAAUUGCUGAAAAAUAUAGCACGUUAGCUUAAGUACAAACAGCACGGUAACAUUUUUUAACAAGGAGAAAAAAGUUCCGGGAAAAUAUAGCACGGUCAAUGUAAAUAGCAUGGUAAUACACGAACGUCAUACUUGAUAAAUUAAGUCCAAACACCGCGAUAACAUUUGACCAAGAGAGGAAAAUUUGUUGAAAUACAUACUCGACAACUACUAUGUAAACGGUAUGGUAGUAUGCAAACCUCAUAUCAGAUAAGUUAAGUACAAACACUGUGAUGAUUUGCAUCUGAAAAGGGAGGGAAGGGGACGCCCGAGUUUGUGAACCAUCUGAACUGGUGUAAAACGUCCAGAAAAAAGGUUCCAAAUCCCAGACAAGUGAGUUCAGGAAGGUACAAGUAGUGUGUAAGUUGAAAGAAACCAAUAACAUGGCCUAGCCGAGUUGUUCGUUGUUGCUAAAUUAGUUGUGGUAGGUUGUCGGUUCGAUUACUCUCCCAUCGCAUUUUUUCGCGUUUUUUCGAACUGCACACGUGUGUGCGCAGAAUCGGGACAGGCCCGCCCCCAGCGGGGGAAUCCGGGUGGCCCAUAAAAUCAGGAGAAGAGAGGGGUUCGUGCGGGGGGAUCGGGAUGGCCCAGAAAAUCAGGAGAAAAAGGGAUGGGUUCGUGCGGGGGGAUCGGGAUGGCCCAGAAAAUCAGGAGAAGAAGGGAUGGGUUUCGUGCGGCACGAGGGGGUGUGGUGGAUUUGCAAUCUGGCACACAGUUGCCAGUUAUCACAGUCCAUAAUUUAAUAGGUAAAUCACAACUGCAAUGCAUAUAUUAUGAUUUAAGAUCUGGGUUGUNNNNNNNNNNNNNNNNNNNNNNNNNNNNNNNNNNNNNNNNNNNNNNNNNNNNNNNNNNNNNNNNNNNNNNNNNNNNNNNNNNNNNNNNNNNNNNNNNNNNNNNNNNNNNNNNNNNNNNNNNNNNNNNNNNNNNNNNNNNNNNNNNNNNNNNNNNNNNNNNNNNNNNNNNNNNNNNNNNNNNNNNNNNNNNNNNNNNNNNNNNNNNNNNNNNNNNNNNNNNNNNNNNNNNNNNNNNNNNNNNNNNNNNNNNNNNNNNNNNNNNNNNNNNNNNNNNNNNNNNNNNNNNNNNNNNNNNNNNNNNNNNNNNNNNNNNNNNNNNNNNNNNNNNNNNNNNNNNNNNNNNNNNNNNNNNNNNNNNNNNNNUUCUUUUAGGGUGGCAUAAUUAGAACAAAGUAUUCUCAUUAGCCCCUAUAAACAUGUAUACUUUGCUUCUGGCCCCCCUGACAUUGCAGUCAAGCUCCGCCAGUGUAACUAGCAUCACUAGAAAGUGAAGCCUGACCCACGAAACUUCUCCUUGCAUAUCGCAUCCAGACGUUUAGCCAUCUCAGGUGUCAAGUGGUUCACCCAGUCUCCCACCACCCCAUUCCUGAAAUAGGAGUCAUGCGAGAACUUGAAGAACACUCCUUGGGAGCCUUUCUUGUUCGCCUCUAAAUUUUUCAGAUUCUCCAAGCUGCAGAGCUGAACAAUCUCUGCAACGACACCGGCCUCCUCCUCUGUGUCAGAGAAUGGCCUCCCAAGGAACUGAGCUAGCUUCCUGACUUUGUCGAGCGGAUCCUGAAGCAUCUGCUCGUAGGUCAGGAAAAGCACUCUGCUUGGCUCUGCAUUGCUUGCCCUCCAGUAUCCGAGGAUGUGAUCCCAAAAUGGCCCGCCGUUACUUGUGCCCUCACAGACAGUCUCGAACAUCUCUUGGAGCGAUAUGUCAGGUUGAGCACGAUUGACGAAGUGCCACAACGAUACCACCAUGUCCUUUGGAUCCCUGCCAACGAGCCUACGAUGUCAUCUACUUUUUUAAGGAAAAACGUUAUCAUGGCUUACUUUAUUUCAAGGUUUAGCAAGGGCUUGCAUCAUUCACAAGGAGAGCUGGAAUAAAAUCUGUUAUGAUUUAAGAUCUGGAUUGUAUUCUUUUAUGUCCUUUAUGUUAUACUAUAUCCCACUAAAUUAGAUAAUUAAUACAACAACACUACCUGCAAAUGUAGACGAUUUUGCAGUGGGGUCCUCCGGAGAUGGACGGCGGCAGCACCGACAGCGGCAUGUGCGUGCACAUGAGCCUCGGCGAGGGCAGCGCGUCCAGCACAGCGUCGCGGCCGACGGCGAAGAGCCUGUCCACGAGAGGCACGCAGUCGUGUGGGUUGAGGCGGCGGAGCGGGUGGGCGGGGCUAGCCGGCGGGCACGCGGCGCGGGCCAUCGUGGCGAACGUCAAGGCCUUGAGCCACGUGGUGCCGCUCUUGGGAACGCUCGCAAGAACCACGUCGCCGGGGCGCGCCGCGAAGCUGCGCUGCAUGGCCAUGAUGCCUGGUGCCCACUCCUCUCGCACCCACACGCCCUGGUAGCAGCGCCGCUUCAGCUUGCUGUUGCUAGCAUGGUUCUGGUUCGUCGGGAGGGACGCGACGGCGGCGGGGAGGGUGCACUGGGAUGGUGCCGUCGUCGGCGUCCUUGAACGCCACGGGGCCAUGGAGGAGACUAGACGUUUCGCUACCAAGCAUCUCAUCUGCUGAAUGAGGUGAUGGAAGGGUAGCUAGUGAUCACAUAUACAUAUAUGCCGCUGGGUUAAGGGCAUCUUCCAUGCACAUACGUCUGAACCACACUGCUUGGGCGUGUUCUGUCAUUCAACACAGAUUUGUAUUGAUUCAUUUGGUGGUCUAGACACAUUUUUUUCUGCAAACCAAAGAUAAAGUGGAGGGCUAUACGGGCGUCCAUUCGCUACCACGUCCGUUUCUGACUGCCCUGGCCCACCCAAACUCCCUCCUUCGCUCGCGCGCGCUUCCUGCCGCCGCUUCAGAGCGUCAGUGCCGCAUUCAUGCUCGACUAGAGCGGACGCGGCCUCUCACUUCUACCGGCAUUGAAGCGGCACGCUGGUUGAGAGAGCGUCGCUCGCGCUGCUUCCCAGUGCAUGCGACUGCUCCGCGUUUAAACGACACCACGGUUGUAUGUCACCCUACAUUAAUGAAACGCGGUUUGCCGAGGAACCUACUCCGACGCCACUCGUUCGUCUGUCUGCCAUGCACCAUUGCCAUCCGCCCGCUAUAUAAACUCUAGCCCUGACCAUAGCCGCAGUCAUCAUCCUCCGGUCCCUUUCUCCUCUCCGCACCAGUCCACCAUGGCCUCCUCGCGCUUCAAAGCCCUCUAGGACAGACUCUCGUCGGAGCAGAAGAAGAAGAUGGCCGUCAUUGCUGCCGGCUGGCAGGUCGGCCAGCAGACGAAGGUCGUCGCCGCUGCAAUGGAGGACGAUCUGGCGCCACCCACCUCGCCGGUGCAUGUCGGCCUCACCAUCUGCGAGGCCCGUGCGCACUACACGGACAUGCUGCGGGAGGAGCAGGAGGCCAAGUUUCAACACGCGCAGGCCGACCAGGCCUACAACCUCGGCCUCCUCUAGGAGCACCGGCAGGCGGAGGUGCAACUUGCCACUGGCAUGGCCAUCGUGUCGGGUGUGGACGUGGCAGAGCAUGAGGCGUUGGUCGACUCCUACCGCUUCAUCUGCAACAUCCGCCGCGACCGCUGGCGGUACCGCCUCCAUCAGGCGGAAUUGGAGGCCGCCUGCAGGGAGUUUUGCCGAAGCGGCGGAUGAGGUGUGGGGCAAGAGCGACAACGAGAAGGACAUCACAACUCCGCCCGGCCGCGCCCGCCACGGCCAUGAAGCUAGCAUGUCUGCAGGCGCUGCCGGCAGCAAGGAAGAGUAUUGCAUGGUAGGUCGCCGCCACUCGGGUCCCAAGAGGGCCACCAUUCCUCCCCUCCCGUUGAAGCCAAACUUGAUGGACCGAACAUCCUCGGCCUAUUAGCCGCUUGGCGUCGAUGUGGAGGUGGACAACUUCACUUCCCAGGGCUCUGGAGGCCGAGGUUACGGAGGUGGAGCUGGAGAGCGCCUAGGCCUAGGCGGAACUGAAGAAGGCGAAGGCAAGAGCCAGAGCUUCAGUUCUCGGGGCUCAUGGCCAGACUUGGGAAACGGUUGUCGGUGAUCAUUUAGGUUAGGUUUAGAGUAGGGUUUAGUAUGGUUUAUAUUUAAAAUGUAAUGAAUCUUCUCUGGUUUAUAUGAAAAAUGUUCGAAAUGUAAUGAAUGUCGUCCGGUUUGUAUGAAAUCCGCCGUGUUUGUAUGAAUUACGUUUCGUCCGGUCAGUUCAAAUAAUGGUUAAAAUGUAUGCAUGAUGUGUUGGAUGGCCGGCUCCCGCAUUCGUGUCCGCAUACUAAUCCCCUACUCACGGACAAAUACCGAAACAAAUUUACGGGUCAGCGUUGGAGAUGCCCUGGUACAUGCAUUUUCAGCUUCCGAAGAAAACCUGCAUUUUCCUCGACAGCAAGCAUCUUUUCUUUCUUCUUUCCCGUGGAGCAAGCAUCUGAUCCUAUGGAAUCUUUUCUUCCCAUACGGAUGCUUGUGGUGUAUAUUAACUAGGGUUUUUUUUUUGUCCAACAAGGAUCUUCUUUUUGGCCCAUAUAUGGAUGUCGUCCUGGUCAUAAUUCGUGUCUCUAGCAUGUGUAGCUUUAAAAAAUUUAAAUUUUUGAACAGAAAACUGUUUCAAAUGUCUCCCACAUGUCAAGUUUUCAAACAGCUUUCAAAAGUUUUGAAUACACACUAUUCCAGACUAGCUUAACUCGAGAGAAACUAGAACUUUAAACAUCUUACAAUAGUGUGUGUGGGGUGAGGUGGGGGUGGGGUUUAAUAAAGAAAAUUGCAACUAAAAGAAACUCUACAAGAGUCGUUAUAUGUUGCAUAUGGAGCGCAAAGUCACCAUAUCUCAGCCUUCAUAAUAUAUUUUAUGUUUUCUCAUUCAGAAACUUUGAUUGACUCCAAAACCAGACGUGUUAUCACUUCAUUUCAAAAGCAAUCAUGCAAAAAAUAAUUUAACAAGUUGCUUGAACAAAUGCAUUUAACCGGCGACACAUGCAAAUCACAUGUUGCUGGCAUGUGGACUGUACCUUCUCUGGCAUGUGCACUGUCCUCUGCUCUCUCGUGUGUGUUGUCCCCUCUCCGGCGUGCACCUUCCCUUGCCCCGGCAGGCCCUGGAAUGUAUGAUCACCAUUCAUCUGUCAUCUCAAAUUCUUGCGCCACUGGAUCUAUGGUAUUCAAAUCCAACAUGAUGAAUCAUUUAUCGUCGGCUAUCCCUUCAUGUGUCGUUUAACGCCCCUCGGUUUCGAGCCUACAUGCACCCAUCAGUAGCUCCACCGACCGGAAUACUGAGAGAGCUCCCGCUUUCAUGACAUCGUCUGCUCUCUUGCAUAGUGAUGGUGUCCCAGUCCAAGGGUAUUUCACCACGUCGGUUCCUGAUCUGGUGGGUCGGGCUAAGGACCCCUAGGUCGGUUCCAUCCUGGGCCAUUUUGGGCAACCCAUGACACGCUACGAAGAAGAUUAUGGAAGCCUUGACGUUCAAGACAAGUAGUCAAUAUCCGUAGAGUACCCCGUCCACCGACGCAGCCGAUUAGGACUCUUGUAAUCCUAGGACCCCGGUGAUGGUGUCACGGAUUAGGGGGCACUCACCAUGGCGCCUCCCAUCUAGAUGUCGACAUGGCUUCAGAAUGCCUGUGACACAUCUGGUCUUGACAUCUCUGUAUGAGCAGGCUAGUUACUGAUUUGGAAGAUUAGUGCAUGGCUAGGACUCUUGUAAUCCUAGGACCCCGGUGAUAGUGUCAUGAAUUAGGGGGGCACUCACCACGGCGCCUCCCAUCUAGAUGUCAACAUGGCUUCAGAAUGCGGGUGACACAUUUGGUCUUGACAUCUCUGUAUGAACAGGCUAGUUACUGGUUUGAUAGAUUAGUGCAUGGCUAGCCUUAGACAGCCGUGGGCCUGCCUCGCACACUGAUGAAUGAUGAAUGGCAAAAACGAAGGUUUCUCCUUAAAAACAGAUAAUUUAAGGUGUCUCGCUCAAAAACGGCUAAUUUAUUUACCAAAAAUUCCGUCGCCGGGACUUGAACCCAGAUCUCUUGGGUGAGAGCCGAGUAUCCUAACCACCUAGACUACAACGGAUUUUGCUAUGAUUUGGAAUUUUGUUUUGAAGAACCGCAACAUUAGGUCUGCGCUGAAAACCGCAGAAAAUCCUGCCAGGCAAACCUAAGUAUACUUCGGGUCCGCCAAAUGACGAAUUUGUGUGCAUGAGCAGAAAUGCGAACUGAAAUAUGAUGGUUCAUCAGCUGAAUCAGGUUCAGGAGCAUAUCAAGUUAUUGAAAAUGCAUGUCAAAGAGUUGAGACAAAGGACACGCAACUCGCCACAGAUGAUACCAAGCAUGCAAGGAAAAAGAGAUGCUGAAUCUAUUUGCCAGCAAAACUGGAGUACAUUCGGGGCCCAGGAGUGACUAAAUAAUAGACGUGCGCAUAAUAAGGAAUUCAACAACAACAAAGCCUAUAGUCUCAAACAAUUUGGGUACACUAGAGGUGAAACCCAUAAUAUAUCGCGAUCAACUCAAGGUUCUGGCACAUGGAUAGCAAGCUUCCACGCGCCCUUGUCCAUGGCUAGUUCUUUGGUGAUACUCCAAUCCUUCAGAUCUGUCCAACAAAUAAGGAAUUCAUGUGCCUUUAAUUGAAACAUCAAACUUGUUGUCGAUAAGAUUAUCAUGCAAGGCAUGAUCAUAUCAAGUUGCAACAAUGGAUGUCAAAGGGUUGAGAGUUGAGAAUGUUGCCAACAACCACAGCACACUCUCCUUCAGAUGAAUGCAAGGAAAAAUACUCCCUCCAUCCCGAAAUACUUGUCGGAGAAAUGAAUGAAUUUAGACGUAUUCUAGUUAUAGAUACAUCCAAUUUUAACCAUUUCUUCGACAAGUAUUUCAGGACGGAGGGAGUAUAUAUCAACCAAAUAUUCAUUAGCUUGUCCAAAAGAGACGAGAAACAGCAUGCCAAUUACAUAUGAGACAUUAGAAAGAAGUCCAAUUCAUAAUUUGGAUAGUAUUGAACUGGUUCCAGAGCGACCAGACAUAGCAAUCACUUCACUGUGGAACAGAUUGGUACCAUAGUGCUCAAAGGGAGUGAGUAACACCCAGCAAGAGAGUUUUACAAUAUUAUUGUGCCAAAAGAAAAUGCCAAAACAUGGAGCUUUAUAAGGUGCCUAAUUUCACUUAAAAGAUCAUGGGAAAUCUGGGCUUCAAUGUCUUCAC